rnacentral:rRNA from 1 species
GACAGAGGGUGCAAACGUUGCUCGGAAUUACUGGGCGUAAAGCGCGUGUAGGUGGACUUGUAAGUCAGAUGUGAAAUCCCCGGGCUCAACCCGGGAACUGCAUUUGAAACUACAAGUCUUGAGUGUUGGAGAGGAUCGUGGAAUUCCUGGUGUACAGGUGAAAUUGGUAGAUAUCAGGAGGAACACCGGUGGCGAAGGCGGCGAUCUGGACAACAACUGACACUGAGACGCGAAAGCGUGGGGAGCAAACAGG